rnacentral:lncRNA from 1 species
CUCAAACCCUAGUCGCCAGUACCCUCGCCGGAGAAGAAGAACCAGUCGCCGGAGGAGCCGGCUGCCGCCACCCGCCAUCGCACCGGAGGGUUUUUCGACUGCUAAACGAGGUAAAUUUUCUCCCAUUGGCUUGUUUUUCGAUGCUGAAUCCGCCUACAGCCAAAUCGGAGCCAAACCACCGGCCAAUCGGUCGAAAAACACCGUCGAAGUCUAGCGGCGCCGUCGCGACUUCCCUCGGUUUUUGCCUCCGAUGAGGCCCUUUCUGGUUCCUGUUCGAUGCAAUUUUUACACCACUAUGAUCACCGUCUUUUUCUCUACAGGUUGACCAGAGCAAAACAUCAAACCGCGACUCGCACCGGAGAAGCCGCCGCACCCGAGAGCUCCGCCGCCGGUAAAU